ensembl:snRNA U6 U6 spliceosomal RNA
GUGCUUGCCUUGGCAGCAUGUAUACUAAAAUUGGAACAGUACAGAGAAGAUUAGCAUGGCCUUGUACAAAAAAAAGAAAAAACAACCCUUACUCAGCCUCAGCUUUU